rnacentral:lncRNA from 1 species
CCAACUGUCUACUGGACCCCAUGUGGUAUAAACAGGGAAAACCUGCAGAUAUAACUGAGUGGCUCCAGGCUAUGAAUUUUCUAAUUUAGAAGUAAAAAAUAAGCUUUUUUCAUUUUUGCCAUUGCUGAACAACUAGAAAUCAAUUCUUUCUAAUCUAUUGCAGAUAAUAUUAGAUCUACUUGUAGAACUCAAUCUACCAUCUGUCUGUCCACCUCUUCUCUUCUCAUAUCAGCAGAUUCAUCCACUAAGACAAUUAUCCUCACCCAAAGCUGCUCACGUGAAUAGAAAAGAGGAAAGCAGGAUAUGCCACCAGGCUUACAAAGUAAAGACAAGACACAGAAGCGAAGGGGAAGUCAGUUAUUCAAGGCCAUAACAAAGUGCUGAACAUGAUACCCAGCUCAGAUUUUUGCAAUUAUAAUGGGAAAAGAGAGAGAAACAACAUCAGUUGACAGCAUACUCUGAUUGUGAGUUUUGAGGAGAUUUUGAGCAUCACAUGAGAAGGCAAAAGAAGAGGUAACUGGGCUUACUAAUUAACCAACAUUUUGAAGUG